GGGUGCGAUCAUACCAGCACUUAAUGCACCGGAUCCCAUCAGAACUCCGAAGUUAAACGUGCUGGGCGAGAGUAGUACUAAGAUGUGGUGACCUCUUGGGAAGUCCUCGUGUUGCACCCC